GGGCAUUAGUGUAAAAUGAAAGCAGAUUAAAGUUUCCAUCUAAUGCAAUUAAGUCAGCCAAAUGUUCACAUGCAAUACAUGGUCUCUCACCAGUAAUUUUGUAGGUUGGCUAGUCUAGAUCAAGUCUGUGGCACGUCCAAAUCAAGAUACUUUACAUCUGUCUGAUCACACUUCAGCUGGAAUCUCCAAUGGAAAAUUUUCAUCUGUGGCCAAGUGGAAAAAGGAAGAAGUGCCUGGGCCAAGGUUUCACUGAAAUGGGAUGAGUCAUCAUGAGCUAUGGGUAUAGCACCCAACAAAUGACAGCGCCAACAAUACUCAAGAAACUUGACACCAUCCAAGACAAAGCAGUCCGCUUGAUUGGCAUUACAUCCACAGACAUUAAACUCCUCUGCCUCUGAUGCCCACUGGCAACAGUGUACACCAUCUCCAAAAUGCACAGCAAAAAUUCAUCAAGACUCCUCAGACAUCACCUUCUAAACCCACAACUACUACCAUUUUGAAGGAUAAGGACAGCAGAUACAUGGCAACACCAUCACCUGCAGUUUCUCCUCCAAGUCCCUCACUCUUCAGUGUUGGAAAUAUAUCACCUUUCUUUCAGUGUCACUGGGUCAAAAUACUGGGACUAUCUUCCUACUGGAAUUGUGAGUGCUCCUAUAUCAAGGGGAUCACCGCAGUUCAAGAAGGCAGCUCACCACCAUGUUCUCAAGGGUAAUUAGGAAAUAGGAAAAAGGAGAUAAAUUCUGGCCCAGCUGGCAAUUCCCACAUCUCAUGAAUGAAUAUAGUAAAAAUCAUGAAAAUGGCAUUUUGAGGAAAUCCAGCAAUUUUGGAAGCUUUGAUGUUCCUCUUUGUCAGCUGUUUGGGAGCUCUGUUAAUAAUAUAAACUGAGCAUCUUACCCCAGAUUGGGGGAAAAUUAAAUAGCAUCUGGAGUGAGAGAGUACUGGGAAAGGAUGUUGGCGUCUCAAAGUCA